GCGCUACGGACUUAAAAAAAUCCGUUGGCUUUAUUGACCGUGAGGGUUCAAGUCCCUCUACCCCCA
rnacentral:tRNA from 1 species